AGGAGCUUUGCUCCUACACAGAUCUCGUAAAGACUGCAAGUGUACAAAAGGGUGCUUCCCAGUCUGGACCACAGGUUACAGGACAGUAGUAGAUCUAUUAUGUAGAAUAGUUCUGUGCUUUGAGGUUUUCCUCCAUAGCAGAUCAUGUACCUUCUGAUAAUAAAACAACAACAACAAAGAAAAGCCACCACUUGAAACUGGGGAAGUAAUUCCUUUGGGUUAUUCAGCUCACCAGCUGCAUUCAGUGCCUGACAAGUAUUCCUCCUAGGGGGCUGUAUGGAUGCACUCUAAACUUCUCUACGCCCUCAGGAGAUGCCACUGCUGGACCACCUGCAGAGCAGAUCAUCUAUCUGUACACCCAUACAGCUGCGGGUGACCUAGAAUUACACAUCCUGAGAUCAUGCUGGACCAAAAUAAGCUGCUCCUCGUGUGGCUACAGCACAAUUUCAAGUGGCCUUUCCACCUCAGCUGUCAUGGAGCCCAAGGAAUGACUGAAGUAAAUGGAGACCGUGCUGGCUGGGCAGCUGUCUUCAGUCACUUCUCGCUUAGUCAACCCAGUUAAACCCCACAUCGUUUCCUCCCAUGCCCAGUUUUCUAGAGCCCUGAUGGUUCCUAUUCUUCUUGUGUUGUGGGAUGUUUUUUGUUCCUGUUUCCCCACUUGGCUGCUCCUUCUGGUGUGAAGUACACAAACAGAACAAACACAGCCUACAGUGCUGUCUCAGGAAUGAGGCUGGAGUUCAUAUCAUACACCUGUCACUCCUUCUGGCAGUGUUUCCUUAUUUUCUUGAACGCUCUGAGGUAGAUUUAGGCACCUUAGAAGGCUGCUGAAGUUCAUGGACCUUUACAAAUAAUGCAUGGGGGAGUCAGUCUGGACUGCCAAUACCACAGAGGAGUUCUGCCAUGCCUGUCACUGCUGCAGGGGCUGUGAACGUUUUAAAUUGCUUCAGAAUGUCAGCAGCCAUUCGUCCGUGGGACUGUUUGUAUGCCCAGCUGCAGCUGAUGCGGGUGCGGGCGCUAGAGCCGGCCUGGCGGGGCAGCGGCACGGCACGGCACGGCACGGCACGGCAGUCACACGGGACGCGCAGUUUGAGG
ensembl:lncRNA